UACAGAGGGGGUAAGCGUUGUUCGGAAUUACUGGGCGUAAAGGGCGCGUAGGCGGCCCGCUAAGUCGAACGUGAAAUCCCCGGGCUCAACCCGGGAACUGCGUCCGAUACUGGCAGGCUUGAAUCCGGGAGAGGGAUGUGGAAUUCCAGGUGUAGCGGUGAAAUGCGUAGAUAUUGGGAAGAACACCGGUGGCGCAGGCGACUCGCUGGGCUGUAACUGACGCUGAGGAACGAAAGCUAGGGGAGCAAAUGGG
rnacentral:rRNA from 1 species